AAGCGUUAGAGCUCUUUUAGAAUUUGUCUAGCAGGCUUUUCAAAGGUUUUGCCAGAAAGCAAUUCCCCA
rnacentral:snRNA from 1 species